rnacentral:misc_RNA from 1 species
GAACACGUUGAUCUAGAAUCGUUCGAUUCUUGUCAUUUCCCUUUGCAUUUUUCUUUCUUUUUUGUCCUCUGAAUGCCUAUUCCCCGUUUUUUCUACGUUGUCCUCGUUCUCCGUGCAAUACAUGGAAACUGUCGAGUACCCAUGUUUCUGUAACUUUUAAUCCUUCGAAAAGUCUUUCAUGAAAUUCUUAACAAUUUCAAUUCGAUCGUUGCU